UUAAGUUAUAUGAUGAGUGCAUAGUUCAUCCGAUAUUAAUGACGAUUAACAAAAAAUGUCUUCGCCCCUAUCUGACACACAAUUUAU
rfam:Folsomia candida strain VT population Fcan01_Sc002, whole genome shotgun sequence.